CGCGGCGAAAAACGUUUAUUACAUAAAUCUGAAGGCUGUUAAUAGUGAAGUUUACGACCGUUAGAAGCUUAUUUCAAAUUUAUAUAAGAAAUAUGGAAAAGGAAGGAGAGAAGAAGGAAUCGGCGGUACCUUGGAAAUGCUGGCCACGUGGUUGCAGACGUCCGGAAAUUCACGAAUUAUCGUUUUAUAAGUUUUUUCAAUGUGGAUAUCAAUUAUUUCCUCCUCCAAAGCUCAAAUCAGAAAAAUAAUUAUCUUUUCAAAGAUAAUUGCCUGUAAUAGGAAUUAUAGAAGUGACAAAUAUCUCCCGACGUGAAAUUUAAAUGAUGUAAUAUUGAGCAUUUGCAUUAUUAUCCGUUUAUGUUAACAAUUUUUGAUAAAUAAUAUUAAAAUGUUAAUUAUUUUUUUGUAA